UUAAAUAAAUAUUUAUUUCAUAAUUUGUUCAAAGUGCUUUGAAAAUGCUUAUCAAAGGUGACAGAUCUGGCAUUCCUAGGUAGUUGAGGUCUUCCACUGUAAAAUGUCAGCCCUAGGUCGAUAAAUUUAUACAUUGUUGUUAGUUUCCAUUUUCACAAUAAUUAAUUAGUUGAACUUGAUGAUCUUAUUCUGUUUGACAGCCUCAUAAUUUGGCCAACAUGGCAACUGCUUUGGUAAAAGAACUGAGUAUUGAAACAAUUAAUUCUGAAUUUUUCUCUUAAUUAAGGGUUCUUAUGUCCAACAAACCCAUGUCACAUCACUACAGGAGGAAGUCCUUGUAAGGACAGAAUCAAAUGAAGGGCCAAAGAUACCAUUCAAAGCUCAUACUGUAACUACCUCAAUCAGAUAAUAUAAACAUCUCCAUGUUCAUGGUCUUUCUGAGACUUCAGCUUGCUAUGGUAAUAAUGAAAGCAACAGAAUUCAGAAUGAAAUUCGGGUGCAUUAACUGCAGAAUAACCAUGACAGGAAUGGAGUUUUUGCAGAACUGCAAAACUGUAAAGUUAGCUUUUAAAAAGCACACAGUUAGUUAUUUUCUCACCUUUUUAAAUUUGCUUCUAGGUUUGUCUUAUCAUAAGGAAAUGGAUUCAUUCUGCAGCCGGUUCACCUCCUCCCACCUAGGAGUGAUUUGAGGGUUGCAGAGAGGAAGUAAAAAAAGGAAGGAAACAUAAAAGCAGCAGAGGAAGGAGCAGUACUGAAGUUAAAAGGUAACUACGUGGUAUAAGAGGGGAGUUGAAGAGCACUGGGCAGUGCUGUGCUGAUGGUGAAGGGGUGUGUGCAUGCCUGGCUCGCCUGAACUUGUAGAUACCAGGUAAGAUCAGGCUGUGCCCACAGAAUCAGCUGGAGAUGUGCGGUUCCAAAAUAGCCCUUGUAUCUAGGUCAGAGACUCCAAAUGGUGAAGUAAGAUGACUGUAACUUCACUAUACUUAGAGCAGCUUUCCCAGUGCUUAUGCACAUCUCAGUCUACAGAAACACCGCGCCCUUCCCAGGGGGGAAGCAGCAGCCAUGGGGCAUGACUGCCAUACCUUCCCUACUUGGGUCUCUGGGAGAACGAGGCGCUUCUAACUGAGGGCAGGGCCCCGGAGGCGGGAAUGCCAGGGCCCCGGAGGCGGGAAUGCUUUGGUUCGGGAGGCGGGAAUGCUUCGGUUCGGGAGGCGGGAGUGCUUUAGUUCGGGAAUGCCACGGCUCGGGAAGCGGGGCGGGGCAGAGCUCCGCGGGCGGAACCACUG